GGAUUCCGCAGAAGGGAUUGGAAUGUCUAUUCUUAUUGUAGGGUCCGGAAUGAAUAUUUCUGCCAGGGAAAUUCAGACACAUGCAGAGUGCGACCAAAUCCCAUUGAAAACAAUGCAAUUUCCUAGCUGAAUUUUUCUGCCAGAUUCUGCUUGGAUAUUCUGCUGUGUGGCCAUAGACUAUAGAUAUAAUUUACACCAGUUCAAAGGUGCGCCAAAUGUCCAUAAAUGCCUCAGGCUAGGUUCACAUUGUGCAAUGUCCAUUCUGUUCCACCAACUAUUAGAGACUGGUGAUUGGAGGGUGGAAAUUUAAACCACUUACUUAUACGUUGCCCUUAGACAGCCCCAAAAAAAAAAAACUAUUUUCCCAAUUACCUAGAUAAUUUCUAAAAGUGCGAUCUUUAUUGUUUUUUCUCUGCACAUUCAACUGGUUUAAAAAUCACAUUCGCCAUGUUGUCCUGAUGUGAUAAUCCUUUAUGACAACAUAGGGUGCCUGCAGACACACCCGUUUGUCUGAUAGCAGGACAAUGGCGUCUGAGUAAAAUCUGAACGGCCCCCCAGUCCAUUAUGGUUUUUUUUUGUUUUUUUUUGCACCCAAUGGCCUCAAAACAGUUGGGAAACACUGAUCUAACGCAUUGUCAAAAUAGUAUGCUGACACAUCCCUAUUAAUUUCAGUGGCCCAAUAGUAGUAAGCUGGUGACUGUUCAAGUCAUUUCUCAGCGGUAUACAGUACAUGUGUGUGCUCAGACUUGUUCACACUACAGAAUUUCCUCUCAGCAUGGUUUCCUCUUGCAGUAACCUCCUGUUACUCUCAAUGAAGUUGAUUCUGCCAAAAGAAUGAACGUGUUUAUUCUUUCAGGGAAAUCUUCUCGGAAUGGUUCUAUAGUCUAUGACGGUGUUUCCUAACCAGGGUGCCUCCAGCAACAACAACAAAAAAAACACCACACCUGUCCUCUGGGUGUGUGUGGUAUUGCAUCUCAGUUCCAUUGAAGUGAAUGGAGCCAAAUUAUAAUACCACACACACCCUGAGGACAGAUGUAACACAGUUUUACAAGAAAUUAGCUCAGUUUUUCUAUCCCCUGGAUAACUUCUUUAAAAGUGCAGCACACCAUGCUUUUGAUUCUGGGAAAUGAUCUGAAUAUAGUCACUAGUUAAACUGAAGUCGUGGGAACGUGCCAAAAGGACAACCGCUGGAAACACGCUGGAUGUUAUCAGGCCUAACACUUAAUGCACACUCUGGAAUUUCUAAGUGGAAAGAUUCCACUUGGAAAUUCUGAUGCAGCAGCCCCCCCCCCCCCCGUCUUUUCUUCAAUGGGAUUCUUCUGCACCAUACGCACUGCUGUGAGAUUUCAAAUUCUGGAAUUUCGGUGGACAUCCAAGCGGACUGCAUCAUGGUGAAGAAAAAAACAAAAAAAAGCAAAAAAUUUCUUAAAGGGGUAUUCCAGGAUUUUUGUUUUAUUUGACUAUGCUACAGGGGCUGUGAAGUUAGUGUAGUUCAUAAUAUAGUGUCUGUACCUGUGUGUGACGGUUUUCUCACAAUUCUUCUGUGAAUAUUGCCCCAAUAUUUAUUUUUAACAGCAUACAAAAUUACUCAUGUCUCUGCAUUUCCCAUGUUGCACUACAUCGAGACAUGUCAUCACUAGUCAGGUGAUCAGAGGGAGCCUGUACUGCUUAAAUUUUGCAACAGCUGUAGGCCCCCUGAUUAGAAAACACUGUGUUUCAAUGGGUGGGAUAGCUGAUGUGUGGGAGGAAGGAAAGUGACCUCAAACUUUCAAGCAUGGAACUGGGGGAUGUGUAGUUUAGAGAACAAAAUCCAACAGGAAAUACCCAUUUCUGGCAGAUAAGUACUAAAGUCACCUUAUGGUGGAUAACCCCUUUAAGGAAGCCUAAUAACUAUAUCACAUACUUAUACCCAGAUCAGAGAUACUCAACCACAUCCUCUCUUCUUCCCCUUAAGGCAUGGCAGGUGACGGUUACCAGUGUGCUGCAAGUGUUGGUGAGGGUGAAGACUUUUUUUUUUCAGCACUCUUGGCUGCCUGUGCUUUUAAGUCCUGCAAAAAAAAAAGUACAGUCGUCUCUCAAGUUACAGUAUUACUUCCAGGACAACCCUUGUAAGUUACUAAAAAAAAAACUAAACUAAAUGACUGAGCACAGCUUCUAAUCUGCAGUUACAAAUCCUGCACAUCAAAUCUGCGCAGGAUCCUGUACAUGUGAAUGUACCCUAAAGAAGUACUCUGCUGAAACUUUUUUCUAUCCAUUGUUCCCAGGCUGCAAAAAGUAAAAUAACAAACUUUAACACACUUUCUGCCGCUACCCUGAUGCACUUAUGUUGGUCUUCUGACUUCUGGGCCCGGUCUUCUUUUUUAUCCUGGAGCCCAAUGCAUCACAAUACAAUCAGCUUAUAGGCAGUCACAGCGAUGUCCCUCCUUGACUGGUCAUACACUAAGUGAAGUGUCAUGUAACGAACCUUGGCCCCUCCUUCUCCUUGGUACCCGGCCCAUUACAGUGUAUUUCAUGCUGCUUCAAAAUCUGCUGCACAGUUGAAAAUACCGAAUAUUAGGAUUGGAGAGGCUUCCUGUGUUACCAAAAGACUGAGCCAACCACAUUGUCACCUAUACCCAUGGUGACCAGAAGAAAUAUAAUGCCAUAGGAGUUUUUGGGCUCAAAGUCAUGGAUGCAGGACGUAUAAUUGGAUAUAUCAAUGAUUUAUUAGAAUAUUAAUCUAUAAAAAAACAUUCAUAUCAGAUCAUGAAAAUAACAAUAACUUGUACAGGGCUCUUGUGCACUGCUACAGUUAAAAUAAUAAAAAUAGUAAAAUAGUUACUAAUAAACUGUAAUAAGACCACCUAUAAAAUGCUGAUAUAAUAUCUCAUGAAUGAAGAAGCAGAAUUGUCCUAUGGACAUAAAGUGGUACUAAGUCACCACUGAUUAGUGGAGAUUAUGCAAAAAGUUAAGCAGGAUUGAGCUGCUGGCACCCGCUGCCAAUUGUACACUAUAGGGGAGAUUUAUCAAAACCUGUGCAGAGGAAAAGUUGCCCAUAGCAACCAAUCAGAUUCCUUCUUUCCUUUUUAACAAGGCCUGUGCAAAAUGAAAGAAGUGAUCUGAUUGGUUGCUCUGGGCAACUUUUCCUUUGCACAGGUUUUGAUAAAUCUCCCCCUAUGUCUGCUAGAUAUGUUCCAAUAAAUAAUCAGCGAAAGUUCAGUGUGAUGCACCACUCACCGCUUCCGAUGUACAAAUAACGUUGUACACUGUGCAGGCAUACUGGAGUAUAUACCCCUCACCUUAUUAGCCAGCAGUCUAACAGAAGCGCUCUGCGUGGCGUGGAGAGAUAACUGUGGGGUACAAGCGGUCUCCUCAAUUAUGCAGCGUAGAGAGACCAUCAGCCAGAUUGUGGCAGGAAUGAUACACGGUGAGUGGUGAUGUACAUGUGGUGUCCCGGUACCGGAUUGCAUCCGUUACCUUGUGGUGAGGUCCCCAAAGUCAGAGUCCCUAGGUACCGGUGGGGUCCUCAUCUAUAGUUAUCCCCUAGUCACCCCUUUAGUAGUUAAAAUUAUUCAAAUUCUAAGUGUAAAUAUGUAUAUAAUGUAUACUUACCUUGUUGUAGUGUCGCGGGACCUGCGGGUAACGUGAUGCGUUCCAGAACUCUAAGGUUUUUAAGUUAAGGACCUUUGGAGGUAUUCAGGUGACCACCAUGCAUUGUAACAUUGAGUGACAGCUGACAUUGGACCAAUCCAAAACGGCCCUUCCGCUGCCCAUAUAAGGGAGCGGCGGCCAUUAAUCUCUCUCUUGUUCCUGCGCUGCUGAUGAGGACGGAUCUGCGCAGCUGUCAUCAGGACUUGCUAGGCCUAAGCCCUGCGGCCGCGGUCAUCUCUUAAAAAACUGUGAGUUACUUCAAUCCCUGUUAACUACGCAAGAUCACUGGACCUAAAUACUCCCCUAAAUCCAGCGGAUCUCUGCAAGAAACCCCAAUUCUAAUAAUUUCUGGAUAACUCAAUGGUCCUCAGCAGCUGUCAAUCACAGCCGUGCUGAAUAGAGACUUUGUUAAUAAGACUGUUGCUGUUAUUGAAUGUACCGCAAAUACCUCAGUUUCACGCAAGUUCAACUUCAUCUUUGCUGUGGACAUUCAGUCAUUUAUGCACGCACCUAUCGUUUCUGGGAAGGGUGGCGAUAGGCUGAAGAUUUACUUCAGCAUAUUAACCCCCACCCUGACGUCACGAGUGACAAGGGUUUAAUUAACCCCUCAUAUACCAACACAGCAACACCCCAUCUACCCAACACCCCAAGGCAGUUACCACAUACAGAAGCAGCAAGCUUGUGGCGGUAGCACGCGCACUCCGGGGUUCAUAGGAAAGCUGGGUUCUGAGUCAGGAUAUUAGCUAUAUAUAUUGGUGGGGGUCAUAAGGUUUCACAGAAUUAAGCUGUCUCAGUUAUUCUCUUGUAGUUCUACCAUACCAAGGUCAGCCACAGAAACAUACUGCUAAUUGUUGGGGGAAGGGUGACUCUUUAUCUGGUAAACCUCCUUAACUGAACAUAACAUUCUCUGUUUUAUUUGAAAUCGCAUGUUAAAAGUGUAUAAUUUAGUAUAGUUAUGUUGAUGCACUGUAGUUACAUAGCUUGUAAGGUUUAAAAAAGACAAAAAAGUCCAUUAAGUUCAACAUAAAACCCUACUGUGUUGAUCAUGAGGAAGGCAAUCCCCCCCCCCCAUGAGAUUGAUGCCAAUUUCCCCAUGACAGAAAAAAUUCCUUCCCCACCCCAAUAUGGCAAUCCUAAUAAGUCUGUGGGUCAAUGUUAUGUCCACAUAAAUCUAGUAUCUAUAAUUUGUAGUAUAUUUUUCCAGAAAUACACCCAGGCCCCCCUUGAACUUGUUUAAUGAGUCAGCCAUCACAACAUCAUAUGGCAGUGUGUUUCAUAGACUUACUGCUCUUACAGUAAAUUGAUUUACCGGCCAGGUAUAAAUAUAUCACUAGAAAGACCUCUACUGUCCAUUUAUAUAUUUGUACAUUGUGAUCAAAUCCCCCCUAAGACAUCUUUUCUCCAAACGAAAUAACCCCAAGCUUCUUGGUACUGUAAUCCCCCCAUACCAUUAAUUACAUUUGUUGCCCUCCUCUGCACCCUCUCCAGUUCUGCCAUGUCCUUUUUAUAUAAUGGUGGCCAAAAUCGGACACAGCACUCCAUAUUUGGUCUGAUUAUGAUUUAUACAAAGGCAAAAUAAUGUUUCUUUGCCUGUUCUUGUGCCACAAGCUUAUAUGUCUCUCUUGAUACAUCUCAUGACUUUGUUAGCCUUAGUAGCAGCGGCCUGGCACUGGUCACUAAAGUUGAAUUUACUGUCCACCAUUACCCCAUGUCCUUUUCAGUUGAAGUUUACAUACAUUUUUAUUAUUUACCACAUAAUUGUUCAUUUUGCUUUUACAGCUCAAGUGCAUACCCUUACAUCUAUCCACAUUAAACCUAAUCUGCCAUGUCUAUGCCCAAGCCUCCAGCUUCCCCAAAUCCCUCUGUAAUAUUAUGUUAUCUCCCUCUGUGGUGAUCACCUUACCAGUUUAGUGUCAUCUGCAAAUAUUCAAAUUCUACUCUGUAAUUAAUCUACAAGGUCAUUUAUAAACAUGCUACCUUCUUGUUUUAGUACUCUGAAUGCUUUCCUCAUCAUUUAUCACAUCCCUAACUGUUUUGGUUAACCUAAAUUGGUCUUCCUCUAUUUGUAACACAUUUCUUCCCAUAGGGUAUACAGUCAUGGCCGUAAAUGUUGGCACCCCUGAAAUUUUUCAAGAAAAUGAAGUAUUUAUCACAGAAAAGGAUUGCAGUAACACAUGUUUUGCUAUACACAUAUUUAAAAAGCAAAUUAGACAUAAUGUCACACCAAACUCCCAAAAUGGGCUGGGCAAAAGGUGAUGCUCCUUUAAACUAACCUGGGGCAAGUAACAGGUGUGGGCAACAUAAAAAUCACACCUGAAAGCAGAUAAAAAGGAAAGAAGUUCACUUAGUCUUUGCAUCGUGUGUCUGUGUGUGCCACACUAAGCAUUGACAACAGAAAGAGGAGAAAAAUUGUGUAAAAAUAUCAACAAUCUCAAGGUUACAAGUCCAUUUCCAGAGAUCUAGAUUUGCCUUUGUCCACAGUGCGCAACAUUAUCAAGAACUUUGCACCUCAUGGUACUGUAGCUAAUAUCCCUGGGCUUGGACGGAAGAGAAAAAUUGAUGAAAAGUGUCAACGCAGGAUAGUCCGGAUGGUGGAUAAGCAGCCCCAAAAAAGUUCCAACGAUAUUCAAGCUGUCCUGUAGGCUCAGGGAGCAUCAGUGUCAGUGCGAACUAUCUGUCGACAUUUAAAUGAAAUUAAAUGCUAUGGCAGGAGACCCAGGAGGACCCCACUGCUGACACAGAGACAUAAAAAAGCAAGACUACAUUUUGCCAAAAUGAACUUGAGUAAGCCAAAAUCCUUCUUGGAAAACAUCUUGAGAACAGAGGAGACCAAGCAAGAGCUUUUUGGUAAAGCCCAUCAUUCUACUGUUUACCGAAAAUGGAAUGAGGCCUUCAAAGAAAAGAACACAGUACCUACAGUGAAAUAUGGUGGAGGUUCAAUGAUGUUUCGGGGUUGUUUUGCUGCCUCCGGCACUGGGUGCCUUGAAUGUGUGCAAGGCAUCAUGAACUCUGAGGAUUACCAAUGGAUUUUGGGUCACACUGUACAGCCCAGUGUCAGAAAGCUGGUUUGUGUCUGAGAUCUUGGGUCUUCCAGCAGGAAAGUGACCCUAAACAGACAUUAAAAAGCACCCAGAAAUGGAUGGCAACAAAUCGCUGGAGAGUUCUGAAGUGGACAGCAAUGAGUCCAGAUCUAAAUCUCAUUGAACACCUGUGGAGAGAUCUUUAAAUUGUUGGGAAAAGGCGCCCUUCCAAUAAGAGAGACCUGGAGCAGUUUGCAAAGGAAGAGUGGUCCAACAUUCCGGCUGAGAGGUGUUAGUUAUAUAUAUUAAGUUAUGGGUGCCAAUAAUUUUGUCCAGACCAUUUUUGGAGUUUGGUGAGACAUUAUGUCCAAUUUGCUUUUUUUCCUCCCCUUUUUGGUUUAGUUCCAAUACACACAAAGGGAAUAAACGUGUAUAGCAAAACAUGUGUUGCUGCAAUCCUUUUCCGUGAGAAAUACAUCUUUUUUUGAAAAUUUUCAGGGGUGCCAACAUUUACGGCCAUGACUGUAUGUCGUUCACAAGAUCUAGUUAUGAUGGUCUUAAAAUGUCCCAUAUCGUUUGUGUACUUUUAUUACUAAGGGCAAAUUCCCCAUCUAUGUCACUAAGAUAAUCUAUUAGUUGGUGAAAGUUGACCUUCCGAAAGUUUUAUGUUUUUGUAGACAUCCUCAUAUACGUUAAAUGAAAACUUAUUAUGUUGUAGUCACUAUUACCAAGAUGAGCCCCCCACCUCUACGUUAGAAACUAUACCUGCGCUAUUGUGCUCUCUGCUGAUACCUCUGUCCGUGUCUGGAACUUUCCAGAGCAGGAGCCGCUGGGACCACCCGCUAUGACCCGGGCUCAGCUCCUGAACGCGCAUCGUAGAAGGGAAGCAGGACAAGGGCGUACAGAUGAUCCAAAUCGGAUGACACAGUGAGGAUCCAUCACGCUUUUUAUAAAGUUUGAAAGUGUGCAGAUUAGAAAGGAAAUAGCCCCACCGGUAUG